rnacentral:rRNA from 1 species
UACCAGCUGGCUGCAACUGUUUAUUAAAAACACAGCACUGUGCAAACACGAAAGUGGACGUAUACGGUGUGACGCCUGCCCGGUGCCGGAAGGUUAAUUGAUGGGGUCAGCGCAAGCGAAGCUCCUGAUCGAAGCCCCGGUAAACGGCGGCCGUAACUAUAACGGUCCUAAGGUAGCGAAAUUCCUUGUCGGGUAAGUUCCGACCUGCACGAAUGGCGUAAUGAUGGCCAGGCUGUCUCCACCCGAGACUCAGUGAAAUUGAACUCGCUGUGAAGAUGCAGUGUACCCGCGGCAAGACGGAAAGACCCCGUGAACCUUUACUAUAGCUUGACACUGAACAUUGAGCCUUGAUGUGUAGGAUAGGUGGGAGGCUUUGAAGCGUGGACGCCAGUCUGCGUGGAGCCGACCUUGAAAUACCACCCUUUAAUGUUUGAUGUUCUAACGUGGACCCGUAAUCCGGGUUGCGGACAGUGUCUGGUGGGUAGUUUGACUGGGGCGGUCUCCUCCUAAAGAGUAACGGAGGAGCACGAAGGUUGGCUAAUCCUGGUCGGACAUCAGGAGGUUAGUGCAAUGGCAUAAGCCAGCUUGACUGCGAGCGUGACGGCGCGAGCAGGUGCGAAAGCAGGUCAUAGUGAUCCGGUGGUUCUGAAUGGAAGGGCCAUCGCUCAACGGAUAAAAGGUACUCCGGGGAUAACAGGCUGAUACCGCCCAAGAGUUCAUAUCGACGGCGGUGUUUGGCACCUCGAUGUCGGCUCAUCACAUCCUGGGGCUGAAGUAGGUCCCAAGGGUAUGGCUGUUCGCCAUUUAAAGUGGUACGCGAGCUGGGUUUAGAACGUCGUGAGACAGUUCGGUCCCUAUCUGCCGUGGGCGCUGGAAGACUGAGGGGGGCUGCUCCUAGUACGAGAGGACCGGAGUGGACGCAUCACUGGUGUUCGGGUUGUCAUGCCAAUGGCACUGCCCGGUAGCUAAAUGCGGAAAAGAUAAGUGCUGAAAGCAUCUAAGCACGAAACUUGCCCCGAGAUGAGUCUUCCCUGAGACUUUGAGUCUCCUGAAGGAACGUUAAAGACGAUGACGUUGAUAGGCCGGGUGUGUAAGCGCAGCGAUGCGUUGAGCUAACCGGUACUAAUGAACCGUGAGGCUUAACCUUACAACGCCGAAGGUGUUU